rnacentral:rRNA from 1 species
UGCCCGGGUGACGCCGCGUGUGGGAGAGGCUUUUGGGCUGUAACUACUUUUCUCAGGGAAGAAUGACUGACGGUACCUGAGGAAUCAGCCUCGGCUAACUCCGUGCCAGCAGCCGCGGUAAUACGGAGGAGGCAAGCGUUAUCCGGAAUUAUUGGGCGUAAAGCGUUCGUAGGGGGCGUUUCAAGUCUGCUGUCAAAGGCCGAAGCUCAACUUCGGAAAGGCAGUGGAAACUGGAAAGCUAGAGGGCGGUAGGGGCAGAGGGAAUUCCCAGUGUAGCGGUGAAAUGCGUAGAUAUUGGGAAGAACACCGGUGGCGAAAGCGCUCUAGCUGGUCCGAACUGACGUUGAGGACGUACUUUUUCCACUUUCUU